ensembl:lncRNA
CGCAGCCCCCGGCCGUUAUCAGCCCAUAAAUGCAAAUCCCGCAAACAGCCGCUCGCUGCUCUGCUUCUGUCCCUCCUCGGGCUGUGAUUUCAAACGAGGGAUGGGGAGUUUUGUCAGAGGGGUUCCAUCCCCAAUAACCCAACCCCAGAUCCUGCCCUGCGCAAUGGCCCAUAGCACAGUGCCUCUCCCCCAGAGCGUGGAUUCUCUGCUGGCUCGUAGGGUUGUGCUCCGGCUGCAGUUUUCCUUUGGUAGGGAAGGUGGUGUCCACGGAGACGGGGCAGCUCCGUGUCCUGGGGCAGCAGUUGGGCUUCGGGUGGAGGCAGCUGUGUUGGAGAUGCCCAACAUUGAUUGCUGCCAUCCCAGGGUCCAAACCGCAUUUUGUCCCCCUCCCACCCCAACCCACCCAGUUUUCCACCCAGCAGAAGCCACCAUUGGACAGAACCCUCGCUCCUCUUUGCUGAAUCCCCCAAACUUCUCAUGUUUGUGCAUUUACCCCCCCCCCCCCCAACUGCCCCAGAGAUGGGACCUACAGAACACCUUUUGCUCCUCUCCCUUCCAUGCACUCCAACAUAGGGACAUUUUCUCCCGACGUCACCCAUCGCCCCCCGUCCCACCACAGUUCUGCCCUUGGUAUUUUUAAAAGGCGCUUUGAAAAUGUGCUUUAGGACCACCGUUCCCACAGCCUUAUUAUUUUCAGAUGCAAAGAGAGCGCCGUCGGCAGCCGGCAGCCGGAGUUAAUAUGAUGCAAAUGCGAUGAAUCCACUGCAGCUGAACUCCCGACGUCCCCGCGCGGCUGCGCCCUUCAUUUCUCCACAAUGGGUCUUUGGAAAGACACCAGAACAUCUCCUGUGAAGGAUUUGCUCCUCUCAAGUCUGGUUCAGCCGAAAGUUUAUUAGUGGAAAGGGGGUAAUGAAAAUAACGUGAGCUGGCAUCGUAAACACGCACACUCAGCCGGCGGAGCUGAGAGCAGUUUGGAACAAGCCGUGUAAGCACCACGGUGUCGUAUUCCUCCCAUCCUCCCAGCCAGCCAAAUGCCAAUAAUUAGCCAUAAAUAAUACCUAGGCUCCUCGCAGCAGGUUGAUCCACUAUAAACAUGAGCCGAGCUGGGGAAAUAACCCCGCGAUGGAAAACAGCCUGGUAGCCAAGAGAGAAGGUUUGCACAGAUGGAGCUGCUGCCAGAUUUGGAGUCGUGGAUCCGAGCAGCUCCUUGGCUCAUCCUGCAGCUUCUUGGCCACCGCUGCCUCAGUGGGGGGUCGGGAUGCUCCGAGGCAGCAGCCCUACCCCAAAAUCCCAUCGGGAUGGCUGUGCGGUUGGCUGUGCCUGUGAUGCUCAGCAUCCCUUUGCUCAGGAGCAAAGCUUGGACCAUCCGAGGAGGGGCCACCUGCUGCUGGACCCAAUUCCAGCUCAGGAUGAAUCUCAGGAGGAACUCGUUGGAUCGACAGCCACCAAAAUGAUCCAUCGAUGGGGAAGGGAGAGGAGAGCCAGCCAACGUGGAGAUGUGGCUCCUGGGGCCGCCGUCAGUGGGUGUGGUGGGGGUGGGCUGGGGUUGCACUCAGUGGUCUGGGAGGACCUUUCCAACCUCAGAGGCUCUUUUGAUGGGUGGUUCUGUGCAGCUUUCCUCCCGGCUCCAUGCUGUGAGGAUGACGAUGGUGCUGAUGAUGACAAUGGAUGGUGAUGCCCAGCAGAUGGCUCAUGACCAGGGAUGGCUGAGAGGUGCCAGAGGUGCCACCAAGAGAUGGAAAUGCAUCCGGUCCCCAUCCCGUCCCCUCAUCUCCCACCUCAUCACGGGGGCCUGGUCGCGCCCCCCUCCCCUCUGCAGGAGCCGCCAAAGCCUUGGCUAAAUGGAG